UACGUAGGCAGCAAGCGUUGUUCGGAGUUACUGGGCGUAAAGGGUGUGUAGGCGGCCUGUUAAGUUCCGUGUGAAAUCUCCCGGCUCAACCGGGAGGGUGCGCGGAAAACUGGCGGGCUAGAGUGCGGGAUGGGAGAGUAGAAUUCCUGGUGUAGCGGUGAAAUGCGUAGAUAUCAGGAGGAAUACCGGUGGUGUAGACGGCUCUCUGGACCGCAACUGACGCUGAAACACGAAAGCGUGGGUAGCAAACAGG
rnacentral:rRNA from 2 species